rnacentral:rRNA from 1 species
CAGGACGAACGCUGGCGGCGUGCCUAACACAUGCAAGUCGAGGGGAAACGACAUCGAAAGCUUGCUUUGAUGGGCGUCGACCGGCGCACGGGUGAGUAACGCGUAUCCAACCUCGCCCACCACUUGGGGAUAACCUUGCGAAAGUAAGACUAAUACCCAAUGAUAUCUCUAGAAGACAUCUGAAAGGGAUUAAAGAUUUAUCGGUGAUGGAUGGGGAUGCGUCUGAUUAGCUUGUUGGCGGGGUAACGGCCCACCAAGGCGACGAUCAGUAGGGGUUCUGAGAGGAAGGUCCCCCACAUUGGAACUGAGACAUGGUCCAAACUCCUACGGGAGGCAGCAGUGAGGAAUAUUGGUCAAUGGACGAGAGUCUGAACCAGCCAAGUAGCGUGCAGGAUGACGGCCCUAUGGGUUGUAAACUGCUUUUAUAAGGGAAUAAAGUGAGAGUCGUGACUCUUUUUGCAUGUACCUUAUGAAUAAGGACCGGCUAAUUCCGUG